rnacentral:lncRNA from 1 species
GCGAGGCGGGAGUCGGAUCCGGACGGCCAGUCCCGAGAAGAGGACCCUGAGGUGCUGGCAUCCAGUUCUGAGCCGCUGUUGGAAGUCCACUAGAGGACCUGAGAGGAGGCGCCCAGACGCACAGGUUCUCUCUCUGCUCCUGUUCUGAGAAUCAAGUGCCACUAAGAUGUCAAACCCAUUCCUGAAACAAGUGUUCAACAAGGACAAGACAUUCAGGCCCAAACGCAAGUUCGAGCCUGGCACGCAGCGCUUCGAGCUACACAAGCGCGCGCAGGCAUCUCUGAACGCGGGGCUGGACCUGCGGCUGGCUGUGCAGCUGCCGCCGGGCGAGGAUCUCAACGACUGGGUGGCCGUGCACGUGGUGGACUUCUUCAACCGCGUCAACCUCAUCUACGGUACCAUCAGCGAUGGCUGUACCGAGCAGUCGUGUCCGGUCAUGUCCGGGGGCCCCAAGUACGAGUACCGCUGGCAGGACGAGCAGCGCUACCGGAAGCCCACAGCGCUGUCCGCACCCCGCUACAUGGACCUGCUUAUGGACUGGAUCGAGGUGCAAAUCAACAACGAGGACCUUUUCCCCACUAAUGUUGGCACACCGUUUCCCAAGACCUUCCUGCAGGCAGUGCGCAAGAUCCUGUCGCGGCUCUUCCGCGUGUUCGUGCACGUGUACAUCCACCAUUUCGACCGCAUCGCACAGAUGGGCUCCGAGGCGCACGUGAACACCUGCUAUAAGCACUUCUACUACUUCGUCACCGAGUUCAGCCUCAUUGACCCCAAAGAGCUGGAGCCCCUGGUGAGCUGGGGAUGGGGCUCCUGCCUCCUGCCUGGGUGGGAUCGAGGGUGUCCUCAGCCAGAGGGUGUCCUCAGCAUUGGGUCACACAGGUGGGGAGACAGAGUGUCAUGGCUCUAGUUGGCCUUACCUGUGUGAGAGGGCACAGGGCCUGGUACCCACAGGCUCUCUGCUCCCCGUGUUAGUAAGGGUCAGGUACUAAUGGCGGGCAUCUUCACAUAGCCUGCCCAGCACGCCCGCCCUCCAGACACAAAAGUCCUGGAUGUUCUAGGGCCAUGUUGGCUAUCUCAUCUGUGUGACUCACAGAGGGCACAGAGCCGACUGGGGGGCGGGGGCACUGGCCUGCACCUCUGAGCAUCCCCGAGUUUCCAGACAGCAGACGGCCUGGGCUCCACCUCCUAGAGAACACGCGGUGGCUGGCUGACUGACUGAUGGCUGGAUGGAUUUUUUCUGAUUUUAUCCUUUUCCAUUCUGUGACCUAGACUGGCCUAUGGUUCACCACAUAGUUUAUACGAGCUGGGAACCUGAGGUGAUCCUCCUGCCUCAGACUCCAAGGCUUGGGUCAUAGGUCUGCGCCAUCUGCUUAAAAUGUUUGUCCUUCUUUUUUUCCUUUUCUUUCUUUAAAAACAAAAAAC